rnacentral:rRNA from 1 species
UUUUAGAAAUUAAUUUAAAGUCUAACCUGCCCACUGAAAUUUUUAAAUGGCCGCAGUAUCUUAACUGUGCAAAGGUAGCAUAAUCAUUAGUCUUUUAAUUGGAGGCUAGAAUGAAUGGUUGAAUGAAAUAUUAACUGUUUCAUAAAAAUUGUUGAUAAAAUUUUAUUUUUUAGUCAAAAAGCUAAAAUUUUAUUAAAAGACGAGAAGACCCUAUAAAUCUUUAUAUUUAAAAAAUUUUAAUUAUUUAGAUAAUUUAAAUUAUAAUUAUUUUGAAUAUUUUAUUGGGGUGAUAUUAAAAUUUGAUAAACUUUUAAUUAAAAAAAUACAUAAAUUAAUGAAUUGUUGAUCCAUUAAUAAUGAUUAAAAAAUUAAGUUACUUUAGGGAUAACAGCGUAAUUUUUUUAGAGAGUUCAUAUUGAUAAAAAAGAUUGCGACCUCGAUGUUGGAUUAAGAUAUAAUUUUAGGUGCAGUAGCUUAAAUUUUGAGUCUGUUCGACUUUUAAAUUCUUACA